rnacentral:rRNA from 1 species
GACUNCGAAUGGGGGAACCCUGACGCAGCAACGCCGCGUGGGUGAUGAAGGCCUUCGGGUCGUAAAGCCCUGUCAGGUGGGAAGAAACUUGUGGAUGUUAAUACCAUCCAUGCUUGACGGUACCACCGGAGGAAGCACCGGCUAACUCCGUGCCAGCAGCCGCGGUAAUACGGAGGGUGCAAGCGUUGUUCGGAAUUAUUGGGCGUAAAGCGCGUGUAGGUGGUCGUGUAAGUCAGAUGUGAAAGCCUUCUGCUUAACAGAAGAAGUGCAUUUGAUACUGCUCGGCUAGAGUACGGGAGAGGAGAGUGGAAUUCCCGGUGUAGAGGUGAAAUUCGUAGAUAUCGGGAGGAACACCAGUGGCGAAGGCGGCUCUCUGGUCCGAUACUGACGCUGAGACGCGAAAGCGUGGGGAGCAAACAGGAUUAGAUACCCUGGUAGUCCACGCCGUAAACGAUGGGCACUAGGUGUAGGAGGUAUUGACCCCUUCUGUGCCGAAGCUAACGCAUUAAGUGCCCCGCCUGGGGAGUACGGCCGCAAGGCUAAAACUCAAAAAAAUUGACGGA